rnacentral:rRNA from 1 species
UACGAAGGGUGCAAGCGUUAAUCGGAAUUACUGGGCGUAAAGCGUGCGUAGGCGGUUUCUUAAGUCUGCUGUGAAAUCCCCGGGCUCAACCUGGGAAUGGCAGUGGAUACUGGGAGGCUAGAGUGUGUCAGAGGAUGGUGGAAUUCCCGGUGUAGCGGUGUAAUGCGUAGAGAUCGGGAGGAACAUCAGUGGCGAAGGCGGCCAUCUGGGACAACACUGACGCUGAGGCACGAAAGCGUGGGGAGCAAACAGG